rnacentral:lncRNA from 1 species
CCGAGAUCUCAAAACUGUAGAAUGCAGAUUUUUUAUCCUUUAUCUCUCGAAAACCUCCCGUCAUUCACUUUUAAUCAUUUUAACACCUUCGGACUUUCCGAAGUGUACCGUCCUCGCACUUUGGUCAAUUUGACGAAAGUUCGAUAUUUAUUUUUCGAAUUUUCGGUAUAUUACAUUCUCCACCCCUUAAAAUGAUUUCGUCCACGAAAUUACGCAUACCUUAACUCGUUGACUCAAACAGAUGCGGAUACUCUC